GUCAGCACAGUAUUAAAAAAAAACAUAAUUCCACGUCAGUACAGUAUUAAAAAAAAAACAUAAAAUUAAAAGCCAACUAUCUCUCAAACAAAAAACCCUAAAAGUCUAAAAGCAGCCGUGCUCUCUGCCUCUCCAAGCCAUUCUCUCUGUAUCCCUGAUGACCAUAGCCAUCUCUCCCACCCAUAACUGAGCCGUUACCCAUCAUAGCCAUCACAAAAUCUCCAAUGUCGCAGGCCAAGUUAAGCAGAAACCCAUUGAAGGUUAAGAAGAAAGAACAGAGUAGCCUUGCACCAUCGGUCUGCCAGUAAAAUCACUAUGAAACCCAACGAAGGUUAAGGAGAAAGAACAGAGUAGCCUUGCACUACUGGUCUGCUAGCAAAAUCACUAUGGUAA